UGGGGAAUUUUGGGACAAUGGGCGCAAGCCUGAUCCAGCCAUGCCGCGUGCGGGAAGAAGGCCUUCGGGUUGUAAACCGCUUUUGUCAGGGAAGAAAUCUUCUGAGUUAAUACCUCGGGAGGAUGACGGUACCUGAAGAUAAGCACCGGCUAACUACGUGCCAGCAGCCGCGGUAAUACGUAGGGUGCAAGCGUUAAUCGGAAUUACUGGGCGUAAAGCGUGCGCAGGCGGUUUUGUAAGACAGAGGUGAAAUCCCCGGGCUCAACCUGGGAACUGCCUUUGUGACUGCAAGGCUUGAGUGCGGCAGAGGGGGAUGGAAUUCCGCGUGUAGCAGUGAAAUGCGUAGAUAUGCGGAGGAACACCGAUGGCGAAGGCAAUCCCCUGGGCCUGCACUGACGCUCAUGCACGAAAGCGUGGGGAGCAAACCAGGAUUAGAUACCCCUGGUAGUCCACGCCCUAAACGAUGUCAACUGGUUGUU
rnacentral:rRNA from 1 species